rnacentral:rRNA from 1 species
GACGAACGCUGGCGGCGUGCCUAAUACAUGCAAGUUGAGCGAUGAAGCUUGGUGCUUGCACCAAUUUGAAGAGCAGCGAACGGGUGAGUAACGCGUGGGGAAUCUGCCUUUGAGCGGGGGACAACAUUUGGAAACGAAUGCUAAUACCGCAUAAUAACUUUAAACAUAAGUUUUAAGUUUGAAAGAUGCAAUUGCAUCACUCAAAGAUGAUCCCGCGUUGUAUUAGCUAGUUGGUGAGGUAAAGGCUCACCAAGGCGAUGAUACAUAGCCGACCUGAGAGGGUGAUCGGCCACAUUGGGACUGAGACACGGCCCAAACUCCUACGGGAGGCAGCAGUAGGGAAUCUUCGGCAAUGGACGAAAGUCUGACCGAGCAACGCCGCGUGAGUGAAGAAGGUUUUCGGAUCGUAAAACUCUGUUGGUGGAGAAGAACGUUGGUGAGAGUGGAAAGCUCAUCAAGUGACGGUAACUACCCAGAAAGGGACGGCUAACUACGUG